AAGUUCCCUUAUUAGCUUAUUCAUUGUUCUGUAAUUUACUAGUUACUGCGAAGUAUUACUUACAUCAAUGAACUAAGAAUUUCAAUGUUAAUUGUAAUUAAGAAAAGCAUUUGAACUAACUACUCCGUAUUUUCUUUUGUUGAUUGAGAAGACCUGAUAUGUCAUGUGAAUUGUGUUUGUUUGUUAACGGUGUAAGACCCCCACCCAGGCUCUAAAUGAAUGCAUAAUAUAGGACUUGAUAUCAUACGAACAAAUCUCUCAAAGAUGCUACUAAUAAGAUCUUCAGUACUGGAAUGCAACUUAUAGUAGCUAGAAAACUGAUUUUAAAAGCGGCGCUUACUACUUUUAAGCCUAAAAAUCCUUGUUCAACAUGGAAUUAAAUUACUAAUUAAGCAUGCCUAAACAUUUACAAUAAUAAAUGUACAUGUUAUCUAACCAAAUUAAACAUCAAAACUACAUAAAUGCUUACUGCCUAGAACUGAUCCUUCACGCCAGUUUAUAUAUUUGCUCCAAAAAUUAGCUAUUUCAUAAUUAUAAUACAAACUAUACUUUACCUAUUAAUCAUAUCUCGAUACUAGGAGUUGUUAGAAACUUUUACACAAUAAAUAGCAUGAUUUGGGGAACUAGUAGGUGCUGCAAAUUGAUCUAAAAAUUGGCAGAAUAGUUCGAACAUGUGCACAUCAGUUAUGAACUUUUACUUAGCAAAAAUUAAUUAUAGCCUAAACAUAUAAAUUACAAAUAUUACUAAGCAUACAUGUUUGAAUAAUAAAACAUGGAGAGUUUUAUCAUGUUUAUACACGCAGAAAUAUUACUAAGCAUAUAUGUGAAAUUUCUAUGCAUUGAAACUUCACUUUGCCUCCAAAAUAAUACUGAUCCAAUAUUGACCUGAGAUUUUGCUAAAGGAUGCCUCUCUGUGAGACUGUUACUGAUCUCUUUCGCAUUUAAUCCACUAAAGUUAAAAUUUUCAAGGGUGUGACUACAAACUAUCCUUCAACCAACAUCGACAUUAAAUAAUUAGUGAUCACAAAAUUUCAGCAGUAUAGUUCUAUGAUUACAAAAUACAAACACUACUACAAAAGUUGGAAUAAGAAACACAAUGUAUAGAGCGGUUAAGUUAGAAAAGCGCUUUCCACAAGUAUAGAGUACGUUUUUCUUAAUUCACUGUUAUUUGAGAAAAAGAAUACAAAGCGUCUAUCUUUAUACCUGUUUUUUGUGAUGUUUUCACAAAAUGAAAUUAAUUGAACAAAUGAAAUGUCUGCAAUACAUAACGGUUUUCUAAAACAACUGCUUCAUAUCUUUUACCAAAUUAAAUAUAUAAAUAAAUAAGAGUAAUUAAUGGCAGAUUGUUUAUUUUUUUUCAUUUCCCCUCAAAUGAAAACCUAGCUACAAAACCUCACACUAUAAUACUCACGCAGCCACACUACUAAACCGCCUCUAUAUAUGAUAUUUUCUUUAAUAUCUCAUUCUUAUCUAGCUCUUUGAUCUAUACUGUGUUAUUUCUACCCCAAAUAUGGAGUAAUUAACUAGAAGAUUCAAUAAAUUAAAUCAAAUAGUUUCAUGCCUCCUCAAAUUCGAUCUGGUUAACUGAUUUCAUGCCUCCUUAAAUUAAAUCAAAUAAUUAAUUAAUUAGGGGAGAUAAGGAGCAGGACGACAUACGAAGAAGAUGAGAAUUGGAAGCUGGAGAAGCCAAGGUUAGACUUGAUCACAAGCUCAGAGCUCCAACUCUUAUUAAACCAACAAGAUCAAAGUAGGUUUUUUCGUUUUGGGAAGUGAAGAAUCGCAGUUGUAGACUUGUAAACGUUGAUCAAGCGAGGGGAUUCGGUCUUUUUUAGAUUUUUUUUUAUUUUAUGUAAUUCAUUUUCAAUGUCAUAUGUGCUAUAUAACUGCUAUUUUAACAAUGGCAAGAUCUUGUUAUUCGUGUUUGCAAAGUUAAAGUUACAAGAGUUGGAAAAUAAUAAAGUUGAUAUAUUUUUUUA